CCUACGGGAGGCAGCAGUGGGGAAUUUUGGACAAUGGGGGCAACCCUGAUCCAGCCAUGCCGCGUGAGUGAAGAAGGCCUUCGGGUUGUAAAGCUCUUUCGGCCGGAACGAAAUCGCGCACGUGAAUAACGUGCGUGGAUGACGGUACCGGAGUAAGAAGCACCGGCUAACUACGUGCCAGCAGCCGCGGUAAUACGUAGGGUGCGAGCGUUAAUCGGAAUUACUGGGCGUAAAGCGUGCGCAGGCGGUUCGCUAAGUCAGACGUGAAAGCCCCGGGCUUAACCUGGGAACGGCGUUUGAAACUGGCGGGCUCGAGUACGGCAGAGGGGGGUGGAAUUCCACGUGUAGCAGUGAAAUGCGUAGAUAUGUGGAGGAACACCGAUGGCGAAGGCAGCCCCCUGGGCCGAUACUGACGCUCAUGCACGAAAGCGUGGGGAGCAAACAGGAUUAGAUACCCUGGUAGUCCACGCCCUAAACUAUGUCAACUAGUUGUCGGGGAAGCAAUUCCUUGGUAACGCAGCUAACGCGUGAAGUUGACCGCCUGGGGAGUACGGUCGCAAGAUUAAAACUCAAAAGGAUUGACGG
rnacentral:rRNA from 1 species